AACAGCACCGCAUGUUUUUCUUGGACUCUGUAGAUCCCUCCAGCUGGGAGAGCCUCCCUUAGCUCUUAAGUGCUUUUCCAGUUUGCUCCUUACAGUCUGAGAGGAAGGCCAGCUGGAGCCAGUACUUUGGCUCUGCUGCUCUACAGGGACGGUGUAGACAAGCUCAGCGCUUCAGUAGAAAUUGGGGCCUCUGGGUUCUGUGCUCCUCUCCUCAGAAUGAAGAAACCAGAAUUUUCACUACUCUACCCCGGAUCCAGUUUUCGCUGAUGACCUCUGUCCCAGCUGAGAAGGCCCACCACGAGCAGCUCGGUGUCAAAGAUCAGUGAGCAUUGAACUUUCUAAUCAGAUGAUCGAGUGCGGCAAGUACAUGGCCUUCUGCCUGCUCUACCAUGACACUUAGUGCCUCUGAAUGGGAAGAUUACUAUUGCUUCUGACAAGUCCAAGUGCAACAUCCAGUUUGUAAACUGGUGUCCCACGGGGGUCAAGGCAAGUUGAGGGUGAAGAGAAAGCUUAGCACAUAACCCGUGUGGUUCCUAAGAGAAAUUCCAGGAGACUGAAAUGCACUAGUUAUGGAAAGAAUAGGACAGGUAGCCCUUGAUUUGUCAAGAAAGUGAGGUGUUUGGGCCAGAAGCCAAAGGAGUGGCUUCCUUGUUCAGAUAUUCCAGGGCAUGACCACAAUAGGGCUCGCCAUCUGAAGGGACUUGCUUCCCACCUCUGCAGUGUCCUGUUACAUAGAUCACUGUAACCAGGAGCUUGAGAUCCUCCUGCCUCAGCCGCCUAGGUGCUGAAAUGUGCAUCACACAUGUGACUCAGAGAACUGGGACAUUCAGAAAGGCCUUCAUCAGAUUAGAGGAUGCAGAAGUCAGAAGGCUUCUUGUGCUUCUGCACUUGUGAAUACUGUCAUUUCCUUUUGAAGUAAUAAACUUAUUUAACCUCCA